rnacentral:lncRNA from 1 species
GCAUUUUCCAUCAAUACACUAUUUAAAAAUUCAUUUUUCCCCUCAAAAUGGGGCUCAAACAAGGGCAUUAUACUUCUAGAACUAGAAUUUCUUGGUUCAGAGGGUGAAUCCAUCUAAUUUGAUCAACUAUUAAUGAAUAAUCCUAAUGUGGACGAAUUUGGUCAAAGAGAUGCAGAAAUAGUACUCUCAAGAUUCAUUACGUGACAUGCUAGCCAAAGUUGUUAGUUCUCUG